UAGAGAUGGUGAAUUUCAGCCAGAGCGCCU
rnacentral:piRNA from 1 species